rnacentral:sRNA from 2 species
AUAUCUCUCUGUACGGGAAGGAUGAGAAGCUUCGACUAAGGUUCGAUUCGAGCGCAGCGAGAAAGCGUUGCCGCAGGCAACGACCCGAAGGGCGAAGCGCGCAGCGCUGAGUA